ACGGGGGGCUACGGGAGGCAGCAGUGAGGAAUAUUGGUCAAUGGAGGCAACUCUGAACCAGCCACGUCGCGUGAAGGAUGACGGCCCUACGGGUUGUAAACUUCUUUUAUACAGGAAUAAAUUUAGUCACGUGUGAUUAUUUGCAUGUACUGUAUGAAUAAGGAUCGGCUAACUCCGUGCCAGCAGCCGCGGUAAUA
rnacentral:rRNA from 1 species